ACGGGAGGCAGCAGUGGGGAAUAUUGCACAAUGGAGGAAACUCUGAUGCAGCGACGCCGCGUGAGGGAAGAAGGUUUUCGGAUUGUAAACCUCUGUCCUUGGUGACGAUAAUGACGGUAGCCAAGGAGGAAGCUACGGCUAACUACGUGCCAGCAGCCGCGGUAAUACGUAGGUGGCAAGCGUUGUCCGGAAUUACUGGGUGUAAAGGGAGCGUAGGCGGGAAGGUAAGUUGACUGUUUAAACUAUCGGCUCAACCGAUAGUCGCGAUCAAAACUGCCAUUCUUGAGUGAAGUAGAGGCAAGCGGAAUUCCUAGUGUAGCGGUGAAAUGCGUAGAUAUUAGGAGGAACACCAGUGGCGAAGGCGGCUUGCUGGGCUUUAACUGACGCUGAGGCUCGAAAGCGUGGGUAGCAAACAGGAUUAGAUACCCUGGUA
rnacentral:rRNA from 2 species